rnacentral:rRNA from 1 species
AUGAACGCUGGCGGCGUGCUUAACACAUGCAAGUCGAACGGAAAGGCCCAAGCUUGCUUGGGUACUCGAGUGGCGAACGGGUGGGUAACACGUGGGUGAUCUGCCCUGCACUUCGGGAUAAGCCUGGGAAACUGGGUCUAAUACCGGAUAGGACGAUGGUUUGGAUGCCAUUGUGGAAAGUUUUUUCGGUGUGGGAUGAGCUCGCGGCCUAUCAGCUUGUUGGUGGGGUAAUGGCCUACCAAGGCGUCGACGGGUAGCCGGCCUGAGAGGGUGUACGGCCACAUUGGGACUGAGAUACGGCCCAGACUCCUACGGGAGGCAGCAGUGGGGAAUAUUGCACAAUGGGCGCAAGCCUGAUGCAGCGACGCCGCGUGGGGGAUGACGGCCUUCGGGUUGUAAACUCCUUUCGCUAGGGACGAAGCGUUUUUGUGACGGUACCUGGAGAAGAAGCACCGGCUAACUACGUG